rnacentral:rRNA from 1 species
UGAGUACGAGACGCUACGGCGUCGAAGCAGUCUAUGUCAUACUUCCAAGAAAAGCUUGCACUGUCAUAAACAAAUAAUGCCUGUACCAUAACCGACACAGGUGGGUAGGUAGAGUAUACUAAGGGGCGCGAGAUAACUCUCUCUAAGGAACUCGGCAAAAUGACUCCGUAACUUCGGGAGAAGGAGUGCCUUAUUCUUAAGGUUGCAAUAACAAGAUCCAAGCAACUGUUUAUCAAAAACACAGGUCUCCGCUAAGUCGUAAGACGAUGUAUGGGGGCUGACGCCUGCCCAGUGCCAGAAGGUUAAAGAAGUUGGUUAGCAUUCGCGAAGCUGAUAACUGAAGCCCUGGUGAACGGCGGCCGUAACAAUAACGGUCCUAAGGUAGCGAAAUUCCUUGUCGGGUAAGUUCCGACCCGCACGAAAGGCGUAAUGAUUUGGAUACUGUCUCGGAGAGGGGCUCGGUGAAAUAGACUUGUCUGUGAAGAUGCGGACUACCUGCACCUGGACAGAAAGACCCUAUGAAGCUUUACUGUAACUUGAAAUUGAAAUUGGACUUUAUUUGCGCAGUAUAGGUGGGAGGCGUUGAGAAUAUUCUUGCGGGAAUAUUGGAGCCAUCAGUGAGAUACCACUCUUGUAAUGUUAGAUUUCUAACUUUGAAUCAUUAUCUGGUCAAAGGACAGUUUCAGGCGGGCAGUUUGACUGGGCGGUCGCCUCCUAAAUGGUAACGGAGGCGCACAAAGGUUUCCUCUGAACGGGUAGAAAUCGUAUCUAGAGUGUAAAGGCAUAAGGAAGCUUGACUGUGAGACCUACAAGUCGAGCAGGGACGAAAGUCGGUCUUAGUGAUCUGACGGUGCUGAGUGGAAAGGCCGUCACUCAACGGAUAAAAGUUACUCUAGGAUAACAGGCUGAUCUCCCCCAAGAGUUCACAUCGACGGGGAGGUUUGGCACCUCGAUGUCGGCUCAUCGCAUCCUGGGGCGGUAGUACGUCCCAAGGGUUGGGCUGUUCGCCCAUGAAAGCGGUACGCGAGCUGGGUUCAGAACGUCGUGAGACAGUUCGGUCCAUAUCCGGUGUAGGCGUUAGAAUAUUGAGAGGAGCCUUCUUUAGUACGAGAGGACCGAGAAGGACAUACCUCUGGUGUACCAGUUAUCGUGCCAACGGUAAACGCUGGGUAGCUAUGUAUGGAGAGGAUAACCGCUGAAAGCAUCUAAGUGGGAAGCCCACCUCAAGAUAAGUAUUCUC